GGGAGCAGGGUGGGCAGCCUGGGGUUACCAUCACCCCAUCUCUGUUCCCACCACUGGCAGAAGCGCCCCAGUUCCUACAACUCAUCCCUACCCGUGGUACAGCCCAGGGGGGCAGCCUGGGAGAGCCCCCUGCCUGCACCUGUGUCAGGAUCCCUGGGGGAGCCCAAGGGACGGCGGCCCGUGACAGACGGAAAACGAUGAGGCCUGUAGAAUAAGAAAGAUUGAAGAAAUGCACCUUGCAAAGUGGUGAGAUUUGUGGUGGUCCUUCGUUCCUGUGGGAGUUCAUUCCACAGUCUCAGUCUGGAUUUUGAGAAAACUCCAUCUUCUGCACAGCCAAGCUUCACCCUUAUGGUAGAAAGUUCCACUUUGCAUGAGAAGCAGAACUGUCAAUUGUGGUCUUCGACCUGGAACUUUAGGUGAUCUUUUAGAUAUCCUGGGCCCAGGCCAUUGUGCACCUUGAAGAAAAGGACCAAGAUCUUCAACUUGAAUUGAUACUCUAUGGGAAACCAGUGUGGAGAACAGAGGACAGAUUUGAUGUGCCCCCGUUGCUGAGGAUACGCGCUGCAGUAUUCUGUACUAGCUGGAACUUCCUAAGGAUUGAUGUGUUCAUGCACAGGUGUAUUGCCCUGCUGAAGUGUGGACAGGUGGUGACAAAGGGACAGGUCAUUGUCCACCAGGAUGGGAAGGAAUUUCCUAGCUAACCAGAGAUGGCAGAAAGCAUUACUUGUGGAUGCUUGCGAUAUGCGAGUUUAGCCUUAGUGAGGAAUCCAGGAGGACGCAAAGUAUAUACUGAAUUAACCAAUUGUCAACAGCCAGCAGUAAAAUGGAGACCUGAACCUCCUGACUGCCUUGCUCUAACCAUUAAUCACAGCUUCUUCCUUAUAUAGUUUGGCGUUUUAGAUAAUAAAAUACUUUAAUUUUGCUAAAGUGCCUGAUGAAAAAAUUCUUUACCCUUUUGUAUAAGGACAGGAGGCCAUAUGCUCAACUGGUAAAAAUAGAUUUUUAUGUUUUAUACCAAUUUAUACCAGCUAAGCCUGGCCUAAGAUAUUUUAUUUUUGCUAUUGGGAAUGAAUACAGAUGAGUCUACAAACAAAAGUGCUAUUUUAAAGAAAACAAGUAAUGAUAUCUUUAAACUGAAUAAAUAUUAAGAAUGCAGAACCAGAAAGUUGUGAAGAAUAUUCCAGAUUAGAAUAAUAUAUUUGUUUAUAUUUAGAUCACAAGAAAAGAACACCAGCCUGUCUUCUACCCCAUGUUAUCUGUUUAUUAUGCCACACUUUUAUGGUGGAGUUUGAUUUAUCUAUUUUGCAGUAGCAUGAGCAUCAGGACAGUAGCAUGAGUGACUAGACUCUAAUAGAGUUUUUUUUCUUUUUUAUUUAAGGAUUUUUUACUUUUUCCUGUUGUAUGGUUUGUUUUUCUUAAUUUUUGGGUAGUUUCAUAAUAAUUUAGAUUCACACAAGAUGACAUUGCUCACUAAUAACCACUACUUAUUAAAUCCUCAAUCCGAGUUAAUAAAUUAUCAGUUCAAAUUAAAAGCUCAAAGUCACCGCUGCCACCACAGUUAGUCAAUAUCUGACUUCAGUGCUGUGGGAAAAAAGGUGGGUUUUUUUUUUUGGUGUUUCAUGUCUAAAAGCAUCAUUUCAGUUUCAACCUCACAGUAGGCUUUGAAAGUUAUGGUUCACAUGUGCUAUCAGAUGCACUGUAGCUCUUCAGAAUAACUCAGCAGUAAUUCAGAACAUUUCAAGGGGAAACAAAAAGUGCAAAAAAAUAAAAUCUGUUUAACAGACUGAUAAUUAG